rnacentral:rRNA from 1 species
CGAACGAAGCGCUUGAGAACAACUCUUCGGAGGCGUUCUCUUGUGACUGAGUGGCGGACGGGUGAGUAACGCGUGGGUAACCUGCCCUAUACAGGGGGAUAACAGUUAGAAAUGACUGCUAAUACCGCAUAAGCGCACAGGACCGCAUGGUUCGGUGUGAAAAACUGAGGUGGUAUAGGAUGGACCCGCGUCUGAUUAGCUUGUUGGUGGGGUAACGGCUCACCAAGGCGACGAUCAGUAGCCGGCCUGAGAGGGCGACCGGCCACAUUGGGACUGAGACACGGCCCAAACUCCUACGGGAGGCAGCAGUGGGGAAUAUUGCACAAUGGGGGAAACCCUGAUGCAGCGACGCCGCGUGAGUGAAGAAGUAUUUCGGUAUGUAAAGCUCUAUCAGCAGGGAAGAAAAUGACGGUACCUGACUAAGAAGCCCCGGCUAACUACGUGCCAGCAGCCGCGGUAAUACGUAGGGGGCAAGCGUUAUCCGGAUUUACUGGGUGUAAAGGGAGCGUAGGUGGCAUGGUAAGCCAGAAGUGAAAACCCGGGGCUCAACCCCGCGGAUUGCUUUUGGAACUAUCAGGCUGGAGUGCUGGAGGGGUAAGCGGAAUUCCUAGUGUAGCGGUGAAAUGCG